rnacentral:rRNA from 1 species
GAUGAACGCUGGCGGCGUGCCUAAUACAUGCAAGUCGAGCGAACAGACGAGGAGCUUGCUCCUCUGACGUUAGCGGCGGACGGGUGAGUAACACGUGGAUAACCUACCUAUAAGACUGGGAUAACUUCGGGAAACCGGAGCUAAUACCGGAUAAUAUAUUGAACCGCAUGGUUCAAUAGUGAAAGACGGUUUUGCUGUCACUUAUAGAUGGAUCCGCGCCGCAUUAGCUAGUUGGUAAGGUAACGGCUUACCAAGGCAACGAUGCGUAGCCGACCUGAGAGGGUGAUCGGCCACACUGGAACUGAGACACGGUCCAGACUCCUACGGGAGGCAGCAGUGGGGAAUCUUCCGCAAUGGGCGAAAGCCUGACGGAGCAACGUCGCGUGAGUGAUGAAGGUCUUCGGAUCGUAAAACUCUGUUAUUAGGGAAGAACAAAUGUGUAAGUAACUAUGCACGUCUUGACGGUACCUAAUCAGAAAGCCACGGCUAACUACGUG